rnacentral:rRNA from 1 species
AACGAACGCUGGCGGCAUGCCUAACACAUGCAAGUCGAACGAACCCUUCGGAGUUAGUGGCGCACGGGUGCGUAACGCGUGGGAACCUGCCCUUAGGUUCGGAAUAACUCCCGGAAAGUUGUGCUAAUACCGGAUGAGCCCUUCGGGCGAAAGAUUUAUCGCCAUUGGAGCGGCCCGCGUUUGAUUAGCUAGUUGGUCGGGUAACGGCCCACCAAGGCGACGAUCCGUAGCUGGUCUGAGAGGAUGAUCAGCCACACUGGGACUGAGACACGGCCCAGACUCCGACGGGAGGCAGCAGUGGGGAAUCUUGCGCAAUGGGCGAAGGCCUGAAGCAGCCAUGCCGCGUGAAUGAUGAAAGUCUGAGGAUUGUAAAAUUCUUUCACCGGGGACGAUAAUGACGGUACCCGGAGAAGAAGCCCCGGCUAACUUCGUG